rnacentral:rRNA from 1 species
AUACGGAGGGUGCAAGCGUUAUCCGGAAUUAUUGGGUUUAAAGGGUCCGUAGGCGGCUAGAUAAGUCAGUGGUGAAAUUCUCUCGCUCAACGAGAGACCUGCCAUUGAUACUGUCUUGGCUAGAGUUACAGUGAGGUGAGUGGAAUGUGUAGUGUAGCGGUGAAAUGCAUAGAUAUUACACAGAACACCGAUUGCGAAGGCAGCUCACUAACUGUAUACUGACGCUGAUGGACGAAAGCGUGGGGAGCAAACAGGAUUAGAAACCCUAGUAGUCC